rnacentral:rRNA from 1 species
CACCAGGUUGAUUCUGCCUGACGUGGACGCUAGUCUCACAGAUUUAGCCAUGCAUGUGUAAGCGAAGCUUUUAGUGGAGCGGUGAAAGGCUCAGUAACGGGCGAUUUAUUUGUUCUCCUGUGACGGACAACAUCGGGAAACUGAUGGGAAAACGUCUAAGUUGCAGUUAAUUGAUUGUGACGUAAACGAUUUUGUGCAGGAGAGUAAGAUGCCAUCCUAUCAGUUAGUAAGUAGGGUAAGGGCCUACUUAGACGAAGACGGGUACGGGGAAUGAGGGUUUGAUUCCGGAGAGGGAGCCUGAGAGAUGGCUACCAGGACCAAGGUCAGCAGCAGGCGCGAAAAUUAUCGAAGCCCGCUAGGGGCGAUAGUGAGGAGACGUGUAUAACGAAGUACGUGUAAAGAACGUGCUAAUAACUGGAGGUCAAGUCUGGUGCCAGCAUCCGCGGUAAUUCCAGCUCCAGGGGUGUCUAUGAUGAUUGCUGCGAUUAAAAAGUCCGUAGUCAAUCUGACUGACUGACCUGCAAUGUGAUUGAUUAAAGAACGAGCAGGGUUAGGAAAGCAGAGAAUUAGGAGCGACCGAGGGCUAGAGUAUUGAAUGGCGAGAGGUGAAAUUUGAUGACCCAUUCAGGAGUGACAAAGGCGAAGGCACUAGUCAAGGGCGAAUCCGAUGAUCAAGGACGUAGGCUAGAGUUUCGAAAACGAUUAGAGACCGGAGUAGUUCUAGCAGUAAACUAUGCCGACGCCGUGGUAUUAUUUUAGUAUUGCGGAAGAGAAAUCAAGUAAGGCUUUGGGGAGAGUACGCGCGCAAGCGAUAAAUUUAAAGGAAAUU